ACUCUUAAAAAUUAUAAGGUGGAAUUAGAAUUUUUUUGUAAAUUUUUGUUUGUAAUUUUAAAUUUUGAUUAGAACCAAUCAGAGUAGAACCUGAUUAGACAAAUAUUAAAAGAGCAGAAGUAAAGUUGUAUUUAAACUGAAAGGAUAUUGGCAGGUGAUCUAAAUUAUCUUUGGAGGCUGAGUAUUAAUUGAGAACCCUCAUUAGCUACUUUAUCUAUUUUCGCAUGUAUGAUCGUUUAUUUAAAUCUUAAAGAUAGUAAUUAAAGAUUUAUUAUCUAUAAAAAUAGAUAAAUACCCUGGUUUAUGAUUAAAGUAAGAUUUGGCCCACAUUAUUUUAUAAUGUGGAUAUUAUUUUUGGCUG
rnacentral:rRNA from 1 species